GUGGCGCACGGGUGCGUAACGCGUGGGAAUCUGCCCUUGGGUUCGGAAUAACAGUUAGAAAUGACUGCUAAUACCGAAUGAUGUCGCAAGACCAAAGAUUUAUCGCCCAGGGAUGAGCCCGCGUAGGAUUAGCUAGUUGGUGUGGUAAAGGCGCACCAAGGCGACGAUCCUUAGCUGGUCUGAGAGGAUGAUCAGCCACACUGGGACUGAGACACGGCCCAGACUCCUACGGGAGGCAGCAGUGGGGAAUAUUGGACAAUGGGCGAAAGCCUGAUCCAGCAAUGCCGCGUGAGUGAUGAAGGCCUUAGGGUUGUAAAGCUCUUUUACCCGGGAUGAUAAUGACAGUACCGGGAGAAUAAGCUCCGGCUAACUCCGUGCCAGCAGCCGCG
rnacentral:rRNA from 1 species